rnacentral:rRNA from 1 species
GAUAAACGCUGGCGGCGUGCAUGAGACAUGCAAGUCGAACGAAGGAUCGGGCUUGCUCGAUCCUUAGUGGCGGACGGCUGAGUGACGCGUAGGUGACCUACCCCGAAGUGGGGAAUAACUGCCCGAAAGGGUGGCUAAUACCGCAUGUGGUCGCACGUUCAUUCGUGCGAGUAAAGCCGCAAGGCGCUUCGGGAGGGGCCUGCGUCCGAUUAGCUCGUUGGUGGGGUAAUGGCUUACCAAGGCGACGAUCGGUAGGUGGUCUGAGAGGACGAUCACCCAGACUGGGACUGAGACACGGCCCAGACUCCUACGGGAGGCAGCAGUCGGGAAUUUUGCUCAAUGGGGGAAACCCUGAAGCAGCAACGCCGCGUGAGGGAUGAAGGCCUUCGGGUUGUAAACCUCUUUUGUCAGGGACGAUGAUGACGGUACCUGGCGAAUAAGCCACGGCUAACUACGUG